UAAACCCUUCACAAAGUUCAUGGCGCUGUCUUCCGCCCGGACCUGUCCGCAGUGGUUCCCCCGGAGACGAGCAGCACUGAACGCACACAAGACUGCAGGAGACCCGCGGCCCCAUCCAGCUCCGUACACGGCGACUCCAUCCUUUGGUCACUCAGGCCAAACCUCGAAGUCAUCGUGGAUCCGUCUCACUCACAUCCUACACGCAUCCCUUCGACGAGUCCUUCCAGCGUCAGCGCCAGAAGGUGUGGAGAGCCGGCAGCUUCCCCUGCACAGCAGCCCCACGCCGCCCACCCGCGCCCCUGCCCCGGCUCAUCGCGAGGCUCCCAGGGCUCUCCCCGCCUCCACGCCAGCCGCCCAUACACUAUUUUCCGCGCAGUAGAACAUAAAUCCAGCACAUCCCUCCUCUGCUCAGAACCCUCAGUGACACGCCGUCUCCCGGAGGACCGGAUCCCCGCGAUGGCCGCUCGGCGGCGCCCUCGGCUGCGCCCGUCCGCAGACGCCGCACGGCUCCCCUCAGGCUCUCCGAGAGAAGAUAUCUGCCCGUCUUUUUUUAAAAAAAGGAAAAGAAGGGAAAACAUCUUCAAAUGUUAUUUCCUCAGCAAAGCCUUCCCUGCCCGAGACGGAGGAGCGCCUCCCCGCCGCGGCGGCUCUUCCCGCGGCCGCCGCGGGCCUUCGCUGCUUCACGUGGGCUUUUCUCUCUUUCCGCUGGACCGUGAGCGCGCCGAGCGGUUUCAUUUCUCCCUCCGCCGCCGUGUGCCCGUGGCCCACACCAACGUGGGGCCUCAUUUCUUUUGAACAGAGCAAAAAUGGCCCCGGAAAGCCCCCGAAGCCCUGCGGGAAGCGCCGCCCGAGGUGCCGCCGGGCCUGCUGGCUCCUCGGCCUGCGCGUUUGCGUGGCGUUCCCUCCUCGGGGAACUGUGGGGCCUAAUCCCGCCCGCCCUGUUCCUGCCACAGUGCCUGUUUCUUCCCUUACGGUCUUUUGGAAUUAGCAGUGUAUACUGUAUUGUUCUGCUUACAUUUUAAUGCCUGUCGUCCCGCUGGAAGGCGGCCCGGGGGCCGGCGCAGGAAGCUCUCAGUGACCCCGAGGGGACCGCCGAGGACCGCGUGCGGAGGCGCUGGGAAGGCGGAAACCGCCGUUUGACGCGAACAAAGGAAAAUCUGGCUGUAGACGCUUCCAGCUUCUUAAGAAGUGACAUUUCUUAGGAAGGGAGAAUAGACCUUUCUCCUGCUACCUUCCAGCUCACGGAGACUGGUGUGCCAAAGAGUUUGAUCUUGUUCAAAGAAAAAUGAAUUUCCCAGCCUCUGAGGGGACCCUGUGCCGCUCACGGGCAGACGUCCUGAGACAACGGCCCUUUGUUCAGAGGAGAGCCUUAAUGAGGUUAAGGAUUUACCAAGCGGGGCUGUCAGGAGCUGGCGCGGUGGAGGGGAGAAUAAGGCUGUUCUGCAUUAAAAUGAGCGGUGGUUUCGUUUGCCAGGGCUGCCACCCCGGAGUAAAGCAGACUGGGCGCCUUAAUCAACCGAGAUCUACUUUCUCACCGUUGGAGAGAAUAGCCUUUAGCGGGACACAUGGCCACCUAGCCAGAGGCUGCAUUUCCCAGUCACCUUGGUGGUCAGGUGGUCGUGGACUAUGGAAUGUGAGUGGAAGUGAUGUAUGCAACUUCUGUUCACUUGCUUAGAAAGAAAUGUGACUGCCCUGCAUUUCCACUCUGUCUCAUCUGUGAAUGGGAACUCAGACUUACCUGCAGCCCAGCUCUGACGGUGCAGUUGAGGGUAAGGCCCUGGGGGAAAGCAGUGAAACAAGAUGGAAGGAGCUCGGAUCCCUGCAUGACCAUGUGGAGUCAUCUCAUCCGUCCGGCUACUCACCUCAAGAGCGAAAUAAUGCGAGAAUGAAAUAAAGGCCUACAUCGGUCGUCUCUGUAUUCUGAAGGCUCUUCAUCACGGCAGUUCUGCUUUUACCCUCAUACAGACGGCAAGAUAGCUUCCAUGGCCCCAUGACUAGUGUAUUUUUUAAAAAACUCUUGUUAUGAAAACUUUAUAACUUAAAUAAAAAUAGCAAAAAUGGAAUAAUUAAUCCUAUGUAACCAUCUAGUGUUAGACUUCAUCAACUUUCACCACAUUUACUUCAUAUUUUUUUUGAAGAGGCUUGAAGAAGAGAAAUGCUUUAUUUUAAACUGUUUUCUGUACCGCUUGGCAUUGUAAAACUAUUUCAAAAGUUAUUUCAAUCUUCAGUAAAUGUGUGCUACACAUAAACUUCUUGCAUUGGUGAGGAAAUCAUAGAAAAAUGUGUUGUUUUUCCCUUGCCAAGUGGCAAUGGAUGGAGAAAAGAGAAGAAGCA
ensembl:lncRNA